GUAAUGAUAAAUAGGGACAGUCGGGGUUACUUGUAUUUGAUCGCUAGGGGUGAAAUCCUAUGAUUGAUCAAAGACAAACUACUGCGAAAGCAUUUAACAAGGAUGUUUUCAUUAAUCAAGAACGAAAGUUGGGGGAUCGAAGAUGAUCAGAUACCGUCGUAGUCUCAACUAUAAACAAUGUCGACUCUGGAUAAAAGAAUAUUAACAUGGAUGAUUUUUUUUGAACAGAUUUUUAGAGAAAUCACAAGUAUUCAGACUCCGGGGGGAGUAUGGUCGCAAGAGUGAAACUUAAAGGAAUUGACGGAAGGGCACCACCAGGAGUGGAAUCUGCGGCUUAAUUUGACCCAACACGGGAAAACUUACCGGGUCCGGACACAAUGAGGAUUGACAGAUUGAUAGCUCUUUCUUGAUUUUGUGGUUGGUGGUGCAUGGCCGUUUUUAGUUGGUGGAUUGAUUUGUCUGGUUAAUUCCGAAAACGAACGAGAUCUUAACCUAUUAAAUAGUUGUAUUAAAAUUGAAUAUAUUUCAAAUAUAUUCAGUUUAUUUGGUAAAAUUUUUCUUUUUUCCCUUUCUUUUUGGUCUAGGGAAAUUUUAUUCUGGCAACAGGGUAAGGUUUUUCUAGAUUUUAUAAAGUUGGGGGAAAAAGAGAAGAAAUUAACUUCUUAAAGGGACUAUUCAUAUUUUAAUGAAUGGAAGUUUAAGGCAAAAACAGGUCUGUGAUGCCCUUCGAUGUUCCGGGCUGCACGCGCAUUACACUGAUAUGUUCAAUAAGUUUACUUUUGUCGAAAGUGGGGGGGUGGGAGCAAUCUCAUUCUUUCAUUUUUUUUUUUCCUGGUUUGAAAAGAUUGGGUAAUCUUCAAAAAAUCAUAUCGUGAUUGGGAUAGUGUUUUGUAAUUAUCGCACUUGAACGAGGAAUUCCUAGUAGGUGCAAGUCAUUAACUUGCUCCGAUUACGUCCCCGCCCUUUGUACACACCGCCCGUCGCUCCUACCGAUUGAAUAAUCCGAUGAGAAUUCAGGAUAGAAUGUCUUUUUCAAUUGUCUGAAAGGACAAUUAGGGAUAUUUUAGAAUUUAUUCAAAUCUUAUUAUUUAGAGGAAGGAGAAGUCGUAACAAGGUUUCCGU
rnacentral:rRNA from 1 species